rnacentral:rRNA from 1 species
UCGUAGUGACCUGCGGAGGAUCAUUGUCGAACCUGCCCAGCAGAGCGACCCGUGAACACGUUCAACCUCGUGGGGGACGGGGCGUUGCUCGGUGCCUCGUGCGCCUGCUCGCCCCCCUCCCAGGCCGGGGAGCGCCCACUUGUGGGCUGUUUCCCCGGCCAAACAACGAACCCCGGCGCGUAAGCGUCAAGGAAUAUAAACUUAAUGUGUGUGCUCUCCCGCUGCCCGGUUAGCCGGGCGUUGGAGCUGUGCCAUGUCUUAACAAUAAACGACUCUCGGCAACGGAUAUCUCGGCUCUCGCAUCGAUGAAGAACGUAGCGAAAUGCGAUACUUGGUGUGAAUUGCAGAAUCCCGUGAACCAUCGAGUUUUUGAACGCAAGUUGCGCCCGAAGCCUCCGGCUGAGGGCACGUCUGCCUGGGCGUCACGCAUCGCGUCUCCCCCAAACCCACCUCGGUGGAGGGGAAGGAGGAUGGUUUCCCGCGACUCACCGGUCGCGGCUGGCCUAAAAUUGGAGCCCCCGGCAUCGGUAUGCCGCGGCGAUAGGUGGUGAACAAGGCCUCGGCCAAGCAAGCAACCCGUCGCGCGUGCCGUGCCAACGUGGGCUCGGAGGACCCUUCGGCGUUGCCUAACGGCAACCAAACCGUGCGACCCCAGGUCAGGCGGGGCUACCGCGAU